rnacentral:lncRNA from 1 species
UUUUUUUUAAUUGCUCGAAGAAUUUAUUCUAAACAAGAGGAAAAGAAGAAAAGCCUUAGUAAUUGUUGCAAAGGUUUUCAGAACGUAGUGUUUAAAUGACGAGCGAAAAGCAGUUUUUCUCUUGGUAGUUGGUGAGUUUGUGGAAAUUCAGGGUGAUGCUGCCGGCAGUGCAGCUAUUUCUGCUGCUGCUUCCUGUCCUUGACCCAAAGAUACAUUGUGAAGUUCUCCUGAGUCAAUGUUGCAGGAUCUUUAUUAUAGUCAUGCCUAGGUGACCGAAGACAUGCCAUUUGCUAAAUUCUCUCCAUGCAGAGUUACAAAAUCAGGUAACUGUUGAGUUAGUAGUCAAUGUACAUUUAGAGAGUUCAUAAAGCAUCCAUUCCUUUUCACCUAUCUAAAGGCUUCAGGACAGAACAGCCAUGAAAUUAAUGGAAAAGACUUGAAAGACUUGUAAUACUUAUCAGUGUUUAUUUUUGCAAAAGCUUUAGAUUUUAUUUGUAACCAAAUUCCCUGUUCAGAACAUUUUUAAAGCUUUUAAAACCAUGGAGUACAGGCUACGGUUAUCAUAAGCUUAAAUGAUAGACAUAUAGAAACAUUUCUCAUAGUACAUGAAUCAGUUUGCAGAUGGUGAUUAAGUACCUUGGUUUGCAAGACCAACUGAGCCUCCACCAAAACAGGGAGAAAUUCUAAAUGUAAGACUUUUCUGAAAUAUCUGCCUUCACAAAUUAAAUGUGGACUUUUGUGUGCAAGCCUUUUAGUAUGUCAACAAGGCUGUAAACAGUAAAUUGUGUUGAGAAAGAGUAUUAAUACAAUAUUCCAAGGUCAGCUGAACUCAAAUUUCUCUAGAAGAAGAACGGUUUACAUUAAGAAAUUGCGAGGUCAGAGAUAUAUGGUGAAAUGCUUAAAAUCUUAGAAGAUUGUAAGACCCAGCUGUAAAUUUUCUACUGUUGUAAAAAAAAAAAAUAAUAAAAGGGGGAAAGGGGGAUCUCUACA